UGGCCCAGUUGGUAGAGCAUGGUGUUUGCAACGCCAGGGUUGUGGGUUCGAUUCCCAC
rfam:Salmo salar isolate Sally breed double haploid chromosome ssa16, whole genome shotgun sequence.